rnacentral:snoRNA from 2 species
AAACAAUGAAUUGCACUCAUAUUUUCUAGAAGAAAAAAAAAAAGAAAAAACAACCAGCAGAAAAUC